AACGGGUGAGUAACACGUGAGUAACCUGCCCUUGACUCUGGGAUAAGCCUGGGAAACUGGGUCUAAUACCGGAUACGACCGCUCACCGCAUGGUGUGGUGGUGGAAAGCUUUUGCGGUUUUGGAUGGACUCGCGGCCUAUCAGCUUGUUGGUGGGGUAAUGGCCUACCAAGGCGACGACGGGUAGCCGGCCUGAGAGGGUGACCGGCCACACUGGGACUGAGACACGGCCCAGACUCCUACGGGAGGCAGCAGUGGGGAAUAUUGCACAAUGGGCGAAAGCCUGAUGCAGCGACGCCGCGUGAGGGAUGACGGCCUUCGGGUUGUAAACCUCUUUCAGUAGGGAAGAAGCGAAAGUGACGGUACCUGCAGAAGAAGCGCCGGCUAACUACGUGCCAGCAGCCGCGGUAAUACGUAGGGCGCAAGCGUUAUCCGGAAUUAUUGGGCGUAAAGAGCUCGUAGGCGGUUUGUCGCGUCUGCUGUGAAAGACCGGGGCUCAACUCCGGUUCUGCAGUGGGUACGGGCAGACUAGAGUGAUGUAGGGGAGACUGGAAUUCCUGGUGUAGCGGUGAAAUGCGCAGAUAUCAGGAGGAACACCGAUGGCGAAGGCAGGUCUCUGGGCAUUAACUGACGCUGAGGAGCGAAAGCAUGGGGAGCGAACAGGAUUAGAUACCCUGGUAGUCCAUGCCGUAAACGUUGGGCACUAGGUGUGGGGGACAUUCCACGUUUUCCGCGCCGUAGCUAACGCAUUAAGUGCCCCGCCUGGGGAGUACGGCCGCAAGGCUAAAACUCAAAGGAAUUGACGGGGGCCCGCACAAGCGGCGGAGCAUGCGGAUUAAUUCGAUGCAACGCGAAGAACCUUACCAAGGCUUGACAUGGACUAGUAACGCCUGGAGACAGGCGCCCCUCUUGAGGCUGGUUCACAGGUGGUGCAUGGUUGUCGUCAGCUCGUGUCGUGAGAUGUUGGGUUAAGUCCCGCAACGAGCGCAACCCUCGUUCUAUGUUGCCAGCCCGUUAUGGCGGGGACUCAUAGGAAACUGCCGGGGUCAAUUCGGAGGAAGGUGGGGACGACGUCAAAUCAUCAUGCCCCUUAUGUCUUGGGCUUCACGCAUGCUACAAUGGCCGGUACAAAGGGUUGCGAUACUGUGAGGUGGAGCUAAUCCCAAAAAGCCGGUCUCAGUUCGGAUUGGGGUCUGCAACUCGACCCCAUGAA
rnacentral:rRNA from 1 species